rnacentral:rRNA from 1 species
UACGUAGGGUGCGAGCGUUAAUCGGAAUUACUGGGCGUAAAGCGUGCGCAGGCGGUUUUGUAAGUCUGACGUGAAAAUCCCCCGGGCUCAACCUGGGAAUUGCGUUGGAGACUGCAAGGCUAGAAUCUGGCAGAGGGGGGUAGAAUUCCACGUGUAGCAGUGAAAUGCGUAGAGAUGUGGAGGAACACCGAUGGCGAAGGCAGCCCCCUGGGUCAAGA